UACGAAGGGUGCGAGCGUUGUUCGGAAUUACUGGGCGUAAAGGGUGUGUAGGCUGUGAUGUAAGAUAGCGGUGAAAUGCCGGAGCUUAACUCCGGAAUUGCCGUUAUGACUAUGUGACUAGAGUGACAGAGAGGAUAUUGGAAUACCCAGUGUAGAGGUGAAAUUCGUAGAUAUUGGGUAGAACACCGGUGGCGAAGGCGAAUAUCUGGCUGUAGACUGACGCUGAGGCACGAAAGCAUGGGGAUCAAAC
rnacentral:rRNA from 1 species